rnacentral:rRNA from 1 species
AUACGUAGGGUGCAAGCGUUAAUCGGAAUUACUGGGCGUAAAGCGUGCGCAGGCGGUUUUGUAAGACAGUGGUGAAAUCCCCGGGCUCAACCUGGGAACUGCCAUUGUGACUGCAAGGCUGGAGUGCGGCAGAGGGGGAUGGAAUUCCGCGUGUAGCAGUGAAAUGCGUAGAUAUGCGGAGGAACACCGAUGGCGAAGGCAAUCCCCUGGGCCUGUACUGACGCUCAUGCACGAAAGCGUGGGGAGCAAACAGUAUUAGAUACCCUGGUAGUCCACGCCCUAAACGAUGUCAACUGGUUGUUGGGUCUUCAUUGACUCAGUAACGAAGCUAACGCGGGAAGUUGACCGCCUGGGGAGUACGGCCGCAAGGUUGAAACUCAAAUGAAUUGGCGGGG